CUUACUUAUAUCAUAAAUAAUUCUCAAUCAACAUUUACUAAAUUCUAUCGUUUCACUAACUAAUACUAAUCAGUAUCUAAGAUUAUUAAAAUGAAACUUAUAUGUAUUUUUAUAUCAUUUACUUUGGUAAAUCAAUUGGUAGCUGAAGUUGAUGAAGAUUAUCAUGCGACGGUAUUGAAUAUAAACGCAGGUAUCGAGGAUGCAAAAAGUAACAUAAACUUAAUAUAAAAAUACUUAAAUAAAAUUGUUUUCAUAUGUUUGUCUGAAUAUAAAAUCCUAUUUAAAUUAAAAAUUAUAUA